rnacentral:sRNA from 1 species
UUUUUUUACAGAUAAAUAGUGCCGAUGUUGUCGACGAGUACUGCAUGCACACUCCAAUCUAUGCGAGAGCUUGGACCUUGACAAUGUUGUACAUAGAAUUUUGUGGGGUUCCACAUGAUAGUGAUCCCACCACUUUUGGUCCUACGGUUAAAGCUGUGUUGAGGGAUAAGGAUACAUAAGACCUAUAAAGAUUGUUCCAGUUGCGGCAAAUUAUAAACGUGUUCUUCCCCUGAAAUUCAACGAACAUAGGAAGACAAUGGGGUCGAGUACCAUUAUCUUGAGAAUAAAGAAAAACAAGCCAGUGACAAAGAAAUUCAAAGGAGGAUUGUGUUUUGGACUUGCACCAGUCGCACAUUGGCGAAUGUGAUGCUUAUCAGUGGCGAUCGUGGUUUUACUUGGAGACUUCAAAACCUGAAAGAAAGGAACUACAACAUAUUGCAUGUCUACAAUCCUUGGUCAAUUGUAGAUAACCUCGCCAACAUUGGCUACACGCAUUUUAAUUGGAGGGAUUUCUUGCGAUUGGAUAAUAAUUGACUAAGUAUGAUCUAGUUUUUACUUUAAAUUAAUAUAAUAUUAGGGUUAAUAAUAUCUCACAGUAGAAAUUGAGUAAAACUUUAAAUGACAUAUAUAAAUAUAAACUUUUUCACUUAUUACUAAUUAGUUUUGAGUUAGAAA